rnacentral:rRNA from 1 species
UACGUAGGGUGCAAGCGUUGUCCGGAAUUAUUGGGCGUAAAGAGCUCGUAGGCGGUUUGUCGCGUCGAAUGUGAAAAACCCGGGGCUCAACCCCCGGGCCUGCAUUCGAUACGGGCAGACUAGAGUUCGGUAGGGGGAGUCUGGAAUUUCCUGGGUGUAGCGGGUGAAAAAUGCGCAGAUAUCAAGGAGGAACACCGGUGGCGAAAGGGCGGGGACUCCUGGG